rnacentral:rRNA from 1 species
AGAGUUUGAUCCUGGCUCAGGACGAACGCUGGCGGCGUGCUUAACACAUGCAAGUCGAACGGUGAAGUCCCUUCGGGGGCGGAUCAGUGGCGAACGGGUGAGUAACACGUGGGCAAUCUGCCCCUCACUGUGGGAUAACUCCGGGAAACCGGGGCUAAUACCGCAUAUGAAGCCUGGCGGCAUCGCCGGGUUUGGAAAGUUUUUCGGUGGGGGAUGAGCCCGCGGCCUAUCAGCUUGUUGGUGAGGUAAUGGCUCACCAAGGCGACGACGGGUAGCCGGCCUGAGAGGGCGACCGGCCACACUGGGACUGAGACACGGCCCAGACUCCUACGGGAGGCAGCAGUGGGGAAUAUUGGGCAAUGGGCGAAAGCCUGACCCAGCGACGCCGCGUGCGGGUUGAAGGCCUUCGGGUUGUAAACCGC